AGGCUGUUGGUGAAGUCACGACGUAGUGCCAGUGGCCUCGUCCCGCUCUGCUCAAGGGACCCUCACAGGCUGUGGAAUCCGGGCGUCGGGACCUCCGGGGACCUGGGCCUUCUGCUUCCACUCUCAUUCCUGAAUGUUAAAGGGGCAGGGCCGGACCGGAUGGAAUCACCAAAAAGUAUAAUCAUUAGGUCACUAGAUGUGCACGUUGGCAAUUUUCGAAAAUAUUGCCAGAGAGAUUGAAAUAAUUCACCACUGCCCCUCCUCCAGCUUCUCCUGGGCAUGCCACAUACACUGUGGGAAGGGGAAAGGCUGACCUAGAACACCUUCAAGUGGAUGCUACAGAACCCACCAGGGCAGAGCCUCAGCUCUCAGCCUCCCGGAAUGAACCAUGAACCCAAAGCAAAGAGCAGAACUCCUUUGACACCUCCAGCUUCACAGACAAAGAUGAAUCUCCUAAGGCAUUUCUGAAACAUGCAGUUCUGAAGUCUGGCCAGCCACACCAAAGAGCUUUUCGCAAGAAGGCACAGGCCAGACUCUGUCAUAAAGAGGAAGCCAUCAGGUUCUUGGAUAAUUGCUGAAUGGAACUAAGGGAAAUGAGAGGAGAGAAGCAUCUCAGAGCAUGUUUGGACUUGCUGCAUGCCUUGGACCCUGCUACACACUGAUAACUGAAUAUUGAGCCCUUGAGCUGAUAAACAAGGGUCUUUGACUCG
rnacentral:lncRNA from 1 species